GGUGCAAAUGAUGUAUCUAUAAGCGACCAAAGCCUGACUUGGUGAUUAGUCUCAACUGACUGAUUGCACC
rnacentral:snoRNA from 1 species